rnacentral:tRNA from 1 species
GUCUGGUGCCGGCACGGGUCGAAUCUCAUCGGUUAUCGCCUCUCAAGCGGGAGACGCGGGUUCGAAUCCCGCCGCGGACU